GUAAGAGUUUCGAGUCCGUCGCUACGAGAGUAGAACGCUGGCGGCAGGCCUAACACAUGCAAGUCGAACGGCAGCGGGUAGGAAGCUUGCUUCCUAUGCCGGCGAGUGGCGGACGGGUGAGGAGCACAUCGGAAUCUACUCCGUCGUGGGGGAUAACGUAGGGAAACUUACGCUAAUACCGCAUACGACCUAAGGGUGAAAGUGGGGGGACCGCAAGGGCCUCACGCGAUGGAAUGAGCCGAUGUCCGAUUAGCUAGUUGGCGGGGUAAAGGCCCACCAAGGCGACGAUCGGUAGCUGGUCUGAGAGGAUGAUCAGCCACACUGGGACUGAGACACGGCCCAGACUCCUACGGGAGGCAGCAGUGGGGAAUAUUGGACAAUGGGCGAAAGCCUGAUCCAGCCAUGCCGCGUGGGUGAAGAAGGCCUUCGGGUUGUAAAGCCCUUUUGUUGGGGAAGAGAUCCUGCUGGCUAAUACCCGGCGGGGAUGACGGUACCCAAAGAAUAAGCACCGGCUAACUUCGUG
rnacentral:rRNA from 1 species